rnacentral:rRNA from 1 species
GACGAACGCUGGCGGCGUGCUUAACACAUGCAAGUCGAACGGAAAGGCCUCUUUCGGGGGGUACUCGAGUGGCGAACGGGUGAGUAACACGUGAGUAACCUGCCCUUGACUUUGGGAUAACUUCAGGAAACUGGGGCUAAUACCGGAUAGGAGCUCCUGCUGCAUGGUGGGGGUUGGAAAGUUUCGGCGGUUGGGGAUGGACUCGCGGCUUAUCAGCUUGUUGGUGGGGUAGUGGCUUACCAAGGCUUUGACGGGUAGCCGGCCUGAGAGGGUGACCGGCCACAUUGGGACUGAGAUACGGCCCAGACUCCUACGGGAGGCAGCAGUGGGGAAUAUUGCACAAUGGGAGGAAGCCUGAUGCAGCAACGCCGUGUGCGGGAUGACGGCCUUCGGGUUGUAAACCGCUUUCGCUCAUGACGAAGCUUUGUGUGACGGUAGUGGGUAAAGAAGCACCGGCUAACUACGUG